AGCCCUUUGAUCCCCAUAAAGGGUCUCGCCUGCCCAGUGGAACAUUCUAAACGGCCGCGGUAUCUUGACCGUGCAAAGGUAGCAUAAUCAUUUGUCUUUUAAAUGAAGACUAGUAUGAAUGGCAAAACCUUUUUUAACUGUCUCUCUCACUUUUCCUCAAAAUUCUUAUCUAAGUGAAGAAACUUAGAUUAAAAAGAAAGACGAGAAGACCCUGUCGAGCUUCAGUCCAAACGGGAACUAUUAUUCUCACUUGAGAACCAAUUCUUUUAUUUCUUCCCACUCAGGACUUUGGUUGGGGUAACCAUGGAGAAAAAAGAUCCUCCAGAAAUAACAGAAGAAACCAAUUCUCUGUAAUAAGUAAAGAGAACCAGAAACUGGAAAUCGGAAAAAGUUACCGCAGGGAUAACAGCGUCAUCUUCUCUAAGAGUCCUUAUUGACGAGAAGGUUUGCGACCUCGAUGUUGGAUUAGGGCAUCCUUAGGGUGCAGAAGCUCUAAAAGGUCGGACUGUUCGUCCGUUAAAGCCCCACGUGAUC
rnacentral:rRNA from 1 species